GGGCGGAUGGCACAGUGGUAGCGCGCUUGCUUCGCAAGUUCAUGUCUAUCAGACAUGAGCCAGUUUGCAUGAGGUCGUGGGUUCAAACCCCACUUCGUCCA